UUAAAGAAUAGCCACACCCAUCCUGCUGUACUCCUUUACCCAACGCCACAUACAUUGUUCAGUAUGUUUGUUUGCUGUAGAGAGGUGUGUCAGUAGCACAGAAUACAUUUGUAGAAUUUUGCCUUUAUGUGGUUUCUGAAACUGCUUAGAAAUGCCUGAAAUGGUUUAGGACUACAUUCAGGGUAAGGAAAAAGAUCCGUAAUUUUGAAGAGAUUUGCAACUUUAUGUGAUCCUAAUGUGGUUUCAUGGAUAACUUUGUCAGAGACAAAUUAACUGAAUGGAACUUCAGUGAGUAUAUUGACAGAUUCAAAGAUGAAGAAAUUGACAAAGAGAGUUUCCUGCUCCUAGAUGAAAAAGCCUUUGCCAACUUGAUUCCAAAACUUGGUCCAAGGUACAAAUUUCAAGAGAAACACAAGGCGAUACAAAAGGAGUUAGAAAAUGAUGGGACAGCAACUGACAGCCAAGUUCAAACAUCCUCCACAAUGGCAUGGGCUUCCUUGGACCAGGCGGCAGCUCCCAGCAUUAGUCCACAAGGCAAAAGAAAAAAUCCUCCUACCUUCCCUUCAACCAGUACACCACCAAAGCAACCGUGUUUCUCCAAACCUACACAACCAACCUCUAAAUUCGAGAGACAAGCCAUGAAGGCAGCAGAGACGUGUGUGACACAAGUCCUUGAGAAACUAAAAACUCUUCCCAAGAAGGAAUUCAUUGACUACCUCAAGGGUAAAAUGACAAAGUUAAGGACAGGUGUUAAAAACAAAGUCUUAGUUGGAGUAUUUGGGAAGACAGGAGCUGGUAAGAGCUCUUUGAUAAAUGCCAUCUUGGGUGAGCCGAAUUGUCUGCCCAAUGGUGCAAACAUCAGCGCGUGUACCUCAGUCAUGAUUCAGGUGGAGGCCAACAUGACUAACUACAGCUACGAGGCAGAAAUUGAAUUCAUUUCAAAAAAGGAAUGGGAAGAUGAUAUAAAAUCUCAUCAGGAUGUCAUGUCUGAUGAAAAUGACAACAAAAAUGAAGAAUUAGUCAGGGUGGCAACUGCAAAAAUUCAGGCCUUUUACGGAAAAGAUGGAGUUGGGAAAAGUUUAAAAGACCUGAUGAAAGGGGAGCAUUUCCGAGAAAUUCCAGAAUUUCUAUCACCAACAAACACUGUUAAGAUGAUUUCAUGUGGCACGGCAUCAGAGCUUUCUGGAAAGAUUGCCUGUUACACAAGGAGUGAUAAUAAGAUGGCAGUAAAACACUACUGGCCACUUGUGAAGUGUGUGACAAUUAAGGUGCCCAACACCAAAGAGCUUCUGGAACACAUUGUGCUGUUGGAUCUUCCUGGAACUGGGGACUGCAACAAGACCAGAGAUAAUAUGUGGAAAUCGCAUUUAAGUCAGUGCUCGUCUGUGUGGAUCGUGAAUGACAUCCAACGGGCCGCCUCUGAAAGAGAGCCAUGGAUGAUUUUGGAAAGCAGCUUCAGUUAUCUGAUACAAGGCGGAGAAUGUGAGAAUAUCACCUUCAUCUGCACCAAGACAGAUGACAUCAACCCUAAGAACUACCUGGGAUCACCAGUUUUAAAGAACACUGAACUGCACCUCGACCUGGAAAAGAAAGGAGCAGCUGAGCGGAAACGAGGCUGCAUCCAGCACAGAAAUGAACAAGCUAAGAUAAUGUUGGGAGAGAGGUUCAACGACGAAGUUGUGAAAAAGAAACCUUUCAUUCAAAUGGAAAAGAUCUUCCAAGUGUUUACAGUGAGUGCUGAGGAAUUUCAGAAUGAUGAGAAUCCCAUUCUGGAACAAGAACAGACAGAGAUACCACAACUCAAACAAGUUCUGGAGGAUAUGAAUGAGAGACACUCAAAGACUGCAGUUAAAGACUAUAUAUCUGGAGUCUAUGGGAUCCUCUCUUUGAUCAAAGCGGCCAACUCCAACGACUCGACGAUGGUUGAGAUGAAAUCAAACAUGUACCAACUGCUAAAGGAUUCACUGGAGGAGCAGCUUUCUACCAUCACAUCCCUCAUGACAAAACAUUACAACGACCUUAAAAAACUCCUGUCAGAGGGAGUUGCCAAUUCAAAAAAAUCAUGCUUGCAGAUUGCCAAGGAGAAAGUAAUCACACCAGAGGCAAGAAAGGAUGGCAGAGGAUACCAUCGUACAUUGUCAUCUUUAUGCAGGAAUAAGGGGUUCUGUAGGUCAACAAAUGGAGACAUCACAGACCUCAACAAAACGUUGGCUGAAUCUAUGUACGCUGCCAUAAAUGAGAAAUUUGCUGUAAUUUUCCCAAAUGCUGGAACAACAGGAGAAUCAAUCUAUAAGAAGAUCUGCAACUUCAGCAUCAUCUCAGACAACAUGGCCAAGGAGUGGGAGAACACCCCCAUGUCUCUGUAUCUGAUGUUUCUCACCACCGAGGAACAUUUUUUGAAGGAUAAACUAAAACGAGAUGUCCUCCUGAGGAAGAAAGUGAUUUAUGAAUCUCUGACUGACGAAGUCCAGAUCAUAAUGUGCCCAUGUUAUGAGGAUGUCAUUAUGACUAUUGUAUUGAAGAGGAUAAUACAUGCACUGAGUGUAGAAGACAGUUCCAUGCUCUUUUCAUGACAUAGAAUGACGAGAGGCUUCAAAGAUAUCUGGAAAGGGAACCUUGAAGAAGACUCAGGAACUCCUGGUCAAGCACAUCGACUCAUCGAAAAACCCCAUGUUUGACAAUGCUCAGAAAAAGAUGUUGGAAGGUUUUGAGAACCUGAGGGAAUACAUUGAGCAGACGCUGAGAACCGAACUACUGGAGUCAUUGAAGCGGUCCCUGAAGACACCUAACAGUUUAUCUCUCCCAGAUGUCAGUGAGCAGUUGGAAAACAUGGAGACCUACAAGAUGUUGGCUCUAAGAGAGCGCACAAGCCAAAUCUGACUGUUGAGAAGAGUCAUAAAGCAGAAGUAGUGACAUGAUGGUAAACCAUUCAAAACCCUUGGCUAUAAAAAUGUAUCACAUUUUCAGUAGCUUAUUUAUCAGUAGUUGUUCGUAUCAGAAGUUUUGCCGUAGUUAUUAAUGUUAUGUUUGCUGACGUGAUGAACGUGGUAUAAGCAGGAUAAACAUUUAGGGUCUAUCAGUGCUCUGAUAAAAAUGCAGCUUUGCUGAAGAAGCACCAUGAUGCUCAGAGAACUCAUAGCUCCUAGGUUUUGAUUCCUUACACAUUUUAUGCUCAAUGUGUUGAUCCUUUACAUAUUCUAUACUCAAUGUGUUUAUCCCUGCCAUAUUCUAUACUCAAUGUGUUGAUCCCUUACAUAUUCUAUACUCAAUGUGUUGAUCCCUGACAUAUUCUAUACUCAAUGUGUUUAUCCCUGCCAUAUUCUAUACUCAAUGUGUUGAUCCCUUACAUAUUCUAUACUCAAUGUGUUGAUCCCUUACAUAUUCUAUACUCAAUGUGUUGAUCCCUGACAUAUUCUAUACUCAAUGUGUUUAUCCCUGCCAUAUUCUAUACUCAAUGUGUUGAUCCCUGACAUAUUCUAUACUCAAUGUGUUGAUCCCUGACAUAUUCUAUACUCAAUGUGUUGAUCCCUGACAUAUUCUAUACUCAUUGUGUUGAUCCCUUACAUAUUCUAUACUCAAUGUGUUGAUCCCUGACAUAUUCUAUACUCAAUGUAAACAAAUAAAUUGGUAUUAUUUUGUUGGGUAACUGAUCGGCACUCAGAACUCAUUAAGAGGUGGCUUCUAUCUUCAAUAUAAUCAUUCAUUCAGAAGGUUAAACACAAAAUGGUGCAGUUUGAGGCCAUGUGGUGGAGAGUGAUGUGGGCGCUGGAGAUGGGGGUGUGAGCAGAUGGGUCUGGGCACAUGUUAUGUAGUUGUCGUUUGUAUGUGUAUGUUUGGUAUUGUUUAUAAAGAUAAAAUAAAAUGACAAGCUUGCAACGCG